GGUUCCAUGGUGUAGUGGUUAGCACUUUGGACUUUGAAUCUAGCGACCUGGGUUCAACUUCCGGUGGGACCU
rnacentral:tRNA from 1 species